GAUGAACGCUGGCGGCGUGCCUAAUACAUGCAAGUCGAGCGAACGGACGAGAAGCUUGCUUCUCUGAUGUUAGCGGCGGACGGGUGAGUAACACGUGGAUAACCUACCUAUAAGACUGGGAUAACUUCGGGAAACCGGAGCUAAUACCGGAUAAUAUUUUGAACCGCAUGGUUCAAAAGUGAAAGACGGUCUUGCUGUCACUUAUAGAUGGAUCCGCGCCGCAUUAGCUAGUUGGUAAGGUAACGGCUUACCAAGGCAACGAUGCAUAGCCGACCUGAGAGGGUGAUCGGCCACACUGGAACUGAGACACGGUCCAGACUCCUACGGGAGGCAGCAGUAGGGAAUCUUCCGCAAUGGGCGAAGGCCUGACGGAGCAACGCCGCGUGAGUGAUGAAGGUCUUCGGAUCGUAAAACUCUGUUAUUAGGGAAGAACAUAUGUGUAAGUAACUGUGCACAUCUUGACGGUACCUAAUCAGAAAGCCACGGCUAACUACGUGCCAGCAGCCGCGGUAAUACGUAGGUGGCAAGCGUUAUCCGGAAUUAUUGGGCGUAAAGCGCGCGUAGGCGGUUUUUUAAGUCUGAUGUGAAAGCCCACGGCUCAACCGUGGAGGGUCAUUGGAAACUGGAAAACUUGAGUGCAGAAGAGGAAAGUGGAAUUCCAUGUGUAGCGGUGAAAUGCGCAGAGAUAUGGAGGAACACCAGUGGCGAAGGCGACUUUCUGGUCUGUAACUGACGCUGAUGUGCGAAAGCGUGGGGAUCAAACAGGAUUAGAUACCCUGGUAGUCCACGCCGUAAACGAUGAGUGCUAAGUGUUAGGGGGUUUCCGCCCCUUAGUGCUGCAGCUAACGCAUUAAGCACUCCGCCUGGGGAGUACGACCGCAAGGUUGAAGCUCAAAGGAAUUGACGGGGACCCGCACAAGCGGUGGAGCAUGUGGUUUAAUUCGAAGCAACGCGAAGAACCUUACCAAAUCUUGACAUCCUUUGACAGCUCUAGAGAUAGAGCCUUCCCCUUCGGGGGACAAAGUGACAGGUGGUGCAUGGUUGUCGUCAGCUCGUGUCGUGAGAUGUUGGGUUAAGUCCCGCAACGAGCGCAACCCUUAAGCUUAGUUGCCAUCAUUAAGUUGGGCACUCUAAGUUGACUGCCGGUGACAAACCGGAGGAAGGUGGGGAUGACGUCAAAUCAUCAUGCCCCUUAUGAUUUGGGCUACACACGUGCUACAAUGGACAAUACAAAGGGUAGCGAAACCGCGAGGUCAAGCAAAUCCCAUAAAGUUGUUCUCAGUUCGGAUUGUAGUCUGCAACUCGACUACAUGAAGCUGGAAUCGCUAGUAAUCGUAGAUCAGCAUGCUACGGUGAAUACGUUCCCGGGUCU
rnacentral:rRNA from 1 species